rnacentral:tRNA from 4 species
CGCGGGAUAGAGCAGUUGGUAGCUCGUCGGGCUCAUAACCCGGAGGCCGUAGGUUCAAGUCCUACUCCCGCAACCA